AGGAGGAGGAAGAGGAGGAUGAGGACAUUUGAGCAGGUGGAAGGACAUGGACGGAUGAGGUGCUGGUGUCUCCAGCGAGACAUUUCCUGCGAGCGGCGGGUCACCUGGACGGCUUUCAUCAAACCGUCCAUAUUUAGCACCAGACAUCAUGAAAACCACUGAAUCAGGCUACAUGGCCAACAUGACGAACCAAACAUUCACUGACACAGAUAUUUAGUUUGAUUGAGGCGGAUCAGCUUCCUGACGACCAGACAGUUACUUCCUGUUUCCUCCAGUCUGCCAACACUUCCUGUUUGCCUGACACUGCGGUCUGAGAGGUUUGGGUUACGGGUUGAUCCCUUCCUCAGAGUGGGAGCCUUUCUGCUCCGUCGUCAGAUCCUUCCUGUUGUCACUUCUUCUUCUGGUGUUCUCCUGAUGUUUCGGGUUGGUGCUGCCAUCUUACCACCACAGAAAACAGGAGCAAGUCGCCAUCAGACAUCCAGCAGGUCAGAGGAUCCCAGAAAAGAGGAAGAAGAUCUGAUGGAAGCAGAUUAAAUAUUUUAACUGAAGCGGAUCUAAACCUGAUCGCAGCUUCAGAGUGUAAAUAUUUAUUCAUGCGUUUGCUCUACAGUGAUCAGGAAAUACGAGAUUAUUCUACAGCAAAUCUGAGUCAUUUUUGGACAGAGCUGUCCCUCUGUGUCCGUCCCUCCGUGUCCGUACCUCUGUGUCCGUGUCUGUCCCUCUGUGUCCGUGUCCG